AAGGAAUUGACGGGGCCCGCACAAGCGGAGGAACAUGUGUUAAUUCGAUGAUACGCGAGGAACCUUACCCGGGCUUGAACUGCAGCAGAACGAUAGAGAGAUCUUGAGCCCCUUCGGGCCUGCUGUGGAGCUGCUGCAUGUUGUCGUCAGCUCGUGCCGUGAGUGUCGGCUUAAGUGCCAUAACGAGCGCAACCCUUUCGCCAGUUGCCAUCAGGUGAUGCUGGGCACUCCGGCGACACUGCCACCGCAAGGUGUGAGGAAGGUGGGGAUGACGUCAAAUCAGCACGGCCCUUACGUCCGGGGCUACACACGUGUUACAAUGGGGAGUACAGAGAGUCAGGCGUUGGCAACACCCCUUAAUCAAUAAAGCUCUCCUCAGUUCGGAUUGGGGUCUGCAACCCGACCCCAUGAAGCUGGAUUCGCUAGUAAUCGCGCAUCAGCCAUGGCGCGGUGAAUACGUUCCCGGGCCUUGUACACACCGCCCGUCAAGCCAUGAAAGCCGGGGGCGCCUGAAGUCCGUGACCGCGAGGGUCGGCCUAGGGUGAAACCGGUGAUUGGGGCU
rnacentral:rRNA from 1 species